UACAGAGGUGGCAAGCGUUGUUCGGAAUUACUGGGCGUAAAGGGCGCGUAGGCGGCCUUCUAAGUCAGACGUGAAAUCCCCCGGCUUAACCUGGGAACUGCGUCUGAUACUGGGAGGCUUGAGUAUGGGAGAGGGAUGUAGAAUUCCAGGUGUAGCGGUGAAAUGCGUAGAUAUCUGGAGGAAUACCGGUGGCGAAGGCGGCAUUCUGGACCGAUAUUGACGCUGAGGAGCGAAAGCCAGGGGAGCAAACGGG
rnacentral:rRNA from 1 species